GUAUCUUCCACAGCACCCAUGGUUUUUUACCCAUUUUUCAUGUCCAUCUUUCUUCUGUGUGUAUUUUUGUUUUAAAUGCAUAUAGAUUCUGUAAUGUAUUUGACUAAAAAAAAGAGAGAACGUGGGCUACAGGAGAAACAUGCUGCAUUGCCCAGGGCAGUAUGGGUAAUAAAGUCAUUAAUUCAGCUGAUUAAGCUGGCCUUCGGGUUAAAGAAAAAUCAUAUCCGUCUCCUUCUCAGAUGUAACUGGGGACGCACAGAAGAGGCGAAAAUGCCAGCUAAUUAGCAGACGAAAAGAGAGGGAAUGAGCACGGAGGGAGGGAACAACGGAUUGGGGGACAGAGAGGUGCUUCUACUGAACUCUUAAUGAGACAUCUUUGGGGGUGAGGGGGUUACACGCUCAUCAAACCACACACACACGCACACACACACGCACACACACACACACACAUCUCAAAGACUGCACUUCCUCAGAGCCGCACAAUGCUAACUAAUGAUCCGCAACUAGAGCGAGAGCGAGAGGGGUAAAAUGUCAGUUGAUGCACGGUUUUAAUGAGCUUGUUGUGAAAGGCGAGCAUGGCGAGGGAAAGAAAAUUACAGCGAAAGGACUGACCCAUCAUGCUUUGCUUGAAGACUCCAAAUUGCCACAGGGUUUGCUUUAUUUCCUCGUUUAAUAGAGGCAACCCGUAUCUCUCGAGAGGGCUUUGUGGAAGAUUGCUUCAUGCCAUUUUCUCUCAGAGGACAAGAGAAUUCACAGUGAUAUUCUGUCCAGACUGCUUGAUGAUGACACACUGGUACACACGUCACCCAUCCUUAAGAGGGCCCUUGUGUCACGAAAAUAGACUUGAGCGAUCCUCUCAGGCAACACUACCCCCUUUUGAGGUUCUGUGAGGUAAGCGUUGAUAUUAAGAAGCAUAAAAUCUGUUCUCUUACACUAGAGGACAAUCACUGCUGACAGCACAGAAAGCAAAUUACAAUCUAAACAUCCAUCAUUUAGCAGUGACAGCAUGAAAAAGACACUAAGUUAAAGCCAUUUUUAUGACAAAAUGUAAUUAAAUAUUUGUAUUACAUCAGCACUUGGAUAUGUAUUUGUACUUGAAAUGAUUUUGUAAAACAUUAAUUCAGCUGAUCUAUUUGGGAGAGCCCUCACUGUGAAAAGUGACAUUGUGUUACGUUAAGAUUGUUUUUUUGUUUUUUUUGUAGCACAUAAGUUGCAUGGGCUGUUUUAGUUAUGGAUUUGUUGUAUGGAAAAGAGCUGCAUAAAAUUAUUUUGAACCUUCUCCUCUUGUGUUGUGCAAAAAAUAAUAAGGCUAUGGAUUUAAAACAACUUUCAUUUUUGGGUGAACCAUUCUCUUGUGAAAAAGAAGUACUUCUAUAUUUAAUAGUUUAAUGUUUUAGACAGUUACUGUAACUGCAAGUUAAUUGAAUUAUUAAAUGCAGAUAGCUUAUUUUUUG
ensembl:lncRNA